rnacentral:rRNA from 1 species
UACGUAGGGUACGAGCGUUGUCCGGAAUUAUUGGGCGUAAAGAGCUCGUAGGUGGUUGGUCACGUCUGCUGUGGAAACGCAACGCUUAACGUUGCGCGGGCAGUGGGUACGGGCUGAUUAGAGUGCAGUAGGGGAGUCUGGAAUUCCUGGUGUAGCGGUGAAAUGCGCAGAUAUCAGGAGGAACACCGGUGGCGAAGGCGGGACUCUGGGCUGUGACUGACACUGAGGAGCGAAAGCAUGGGGAGCGAACAGGAUUAGAUACCCGU